rnacentral:rRNA from 1 species
AUUGAACGCUGGCGGCAUGCUUUACACAUGCAAGUCGAACGGCAGCACGGGCUUCGGCCUGGUGGCGAGUGGCGAACGGGUGAGUAAUACAUCGGAACGUACCCAGUAGUGGGGGAUAGCCCGGCGAAAGCCGGAUUAAUACCGCAUAUGCCCUGAGGGGGAAAGCGGGGGACCGAAAGGCCUCGCGCUAUUGGAGCGGCCGAUGGCUGAUUAGCUAGUUGGUGGGGUAAAGGCCUACCAAGGCGACGAUCAGUAGCUGGUCUGAGAGGACGACCAGCCACACUGGGACUGAGACACAGCCCAGACUCCUACGGGAGGCAGCAGUGGGGAAUUGUGGACAAUGGGCGAAAGCCUGAUCCAGCAAUGCCGCGUGUGCGAAGAAGGCCUUCGGGUUGUAAAGCACUUUUGUUUGGAAAGAAAAGGUUUGGGUUAAUACCCUGGACUGAUGACGGUACCAAUCGAAUAAGCACCGGCUAAGUACGUGCCAGCCGCCGCCGUAA